GGAAGACUUGUCCAACCGGAGAGGAUAGACCCUUUCAGAGUCCUGCUGAGCGUGGGCUGAGCUGUUGACCUUGCUAAAGAGAGCACUGUAACCUUGCAGCCGGCCAGUAAAGAAUGAGCCCAAUGGACUGAUCUAUCCCAAAGGGACUCUUUGCCCUCUGAAGGACAUGGCCUGGCAUCACCUCUGCAAUGACAUCCCCUCUCCUGCGCCCUGACCCUUAACGCCUAAAGUUUGGGAGAGGCUGAUAAAGCUUUUUCAGCAGUUCUGAUUCGGUUAGGAGACAGCAUGGCCCCUGGGGAUUGCUCCACCUCCAUCCAUCACUUCCCAUUUUCUACUGCAUCUCCAGGCCAUGGGAAGAGGGCUCUCCUGACUUCUGGCCACACUUGAGGAAGGUUCACCAUCAGGGAGAGCUGCCCAAGUGCACAGAGACAGUCCUACGCCCAGAACCAAAACAAGAAGCUGGCUUUCCCUGGGGGAAAAUAUUCUAAUGAAUAAGCAGCAUGAAUGGAUUUUUCCAAAAUAAUGCCUUGCAUAUGGAUUCUGGGACAAUCAUUCCACCACUGAGCAUUGUUCUGCUUAGCUCCAUCUCAUCAAAAGAAUAGGUAAGACCAGCCCAAGGCUAUUACCCAAGUUCGUUGACCUCUGCAUCCUUCCACCCAACAAACAGGAGGCUGCUUCUGAGCAAAAUGCUGUGGACUGAAUGUAGAUCCUAGGCUCUUAAUGCUUCUGAGAAGUAACCUGUCUGGAAAACAAC
rnacentral:lncRNA from 1 species